AGAGUUUGAUCCUGGCUCAGAUUGAACGCUGGCGGCAUGCUUUACACAUGCAAGUCGAGCGGCAGCGCGGGGGCAACCCUGGCGGCGAGCGGCGAACGGGUGAGGAACACAUCGGAACGUACCCCGGAGUGGGGGAUAACGCCGCGAAAGCGGCGCUAAUGUCGCAUAUGCUCUGUGGAGGAAAGUGGGGGACCCGCAAGGGCCUCACGCUCUGGGCGCGGCCGAUGUCCGAUUAGCUAGUUGGUGGGGUAAUGGCUCACCAAGGCGACGAUCGGUAGCUGGUCUGAGAGGAUGAUCAGCCACACUGGGACCGAGACACGGCCCAGACUCCUACGGGAGGCAGCAGUGGGGAAUUUUGGACAAUGGGGGCAACCCUGAUCCAGCCAUGCCGCGUGCGGGAAGAAGGCCUUCGGGUUGUAAACCGCUUUUAGCCGGGAAGAAAAGGCGCCACCUAAUACGGGGCGUCUGACGUACCGGCGAAUAAGCCCCA
rnacentral:rRNA from 1 species